ACGAACGCUGGCGGCGUGCUUAACACAUGCAAGUCGAACGGUGAAGCGCCUUCCUUUUUGGUGGGUGUGGAUGAGUGGCGAACGGGUGAGUAACACGUGAGUAACCUGCCCCCUUCUUCUGGAUAACCGCAUGAAAGUGUGGCUAAUACGGGAUAUUCUGGGUCUGUCGCAUGAUGGGUCUGGGAAAGAUAUUGUUUCGGUGGGGGAUGGGCUCGCGGCCUAUCAGCUUGUUGGUGGGGUGAUGGCCUACCAAGGCGGGGACGGGUAGCCGGCCUGAGAGGGUGGACUGUCACACUGGGACUGAGACACGGCCCAGACUCCUACGGGAGGCAGCAGUGGGGAAUAUUGCACAAUGGGCGCAAGCCUGAUGCAGCGACGCCGCGUGCGGGAUGGAGGCCUUCGGGUUGUGAACCUCUUUCGCCAGUGAAGCAGGCCUGCCUCGUUUGUGGGUGGGUUGACGGUAGCUGGAUAAGAAGCGCCGGCUAACUACGUG
rnacentral:rRNA from 1 species